rnacentral:rRNA from 1 species
CGUAGGGCGCAAGCGUUGUCCGGAAUUAUUGGGCGUAAAGGGCGCGUAGGCGGCCUGGCAAGUGGAAGGUGAAAUCCCUCGGCUUAACCGAGGAACUGCCCUCCAAACUGCUUGGCUUGAGACCGGGAGAGGUGAGUGGAAUUCCCAGUGUAGCGGUGAAAUGCGUAGAUAUUGGGAGGAACACCAGUGGCGAAGGCGGCUCACUGGACCGGUACUGACGCUGAGGCACGAAGGCCAGGGGAGCAAACGGG